rnacentral:rRNA from 1 species
CCUACGGGUGGCAGCAGUGAGGAAUAUUGGUCAAUGGACGAGAGUCUGAACCAGCCACGUAGCGUGAAGGAUGACUGCCCUAUGGGUUGUAAACUUCUUUUAUAUGGGAAUAAAAUGUUCCACGUGUGGGAUUUUGUACGUACCAUAUGAAUAAGGAUCGGCUAACUCCGUGCCAGCAGCCGCGGUAAUACGGAGGAUCCGAGCGUUAUCCGGAUUUAUUGGGUUUAAAGGGAGCGUAGGUGGAUUGUUAAGUCAGUUGUGAAAGUUUGCGGCUCAACCGUAAAAUUGCAGUUGAAACUGGCAGUCUUGAGUACAGUAGAGGUGAGCGGAAUUCGUGGUGUAGCGGUGAAAUGCUUAGAUAUCACGAAGAACUCCGAUUGCGAAGGCAGUUCACUGGACUGCAACUGACACUGAGGCUCGAAAGUGUGGGUAUCAAACAGGAUUAGAUACCCGAGUAGUC